GUGCUCACUUCAGUAGCACAUACACUAAAACUGGAAUGAUACAGAGAAGAUUAGCAUGGCCUCUGCACAAGGAUGACAUGCAAAUUUGUGAAGCAUUUCAUAUUAAA
rnacentral:snRNA from 1 species